rnacentral:rRNA from 1 species
AUUGAACGCUGGCGGCAGGCCUAACACAUGCAAGUCGAGCGGAUGAAGGGGGCUUUCUCCUGGAGUCAGCUGCGGACGGGUGAGUAAUGCCUAGGAAUCUGCCUGGUAGUGGGGGAUAACGUCCGGUAACGGGCGCUAAUACCUCAUACGUCCUGAGUGGGAGAGUGGGGGAUCUUCGGACCUCACGCUAUCAGAUGAGCCUAGGUCGGAUUAGCUAGUUGGUGGGGUAAAGGCCUACCAAGGCGACGAUCCGUAACUGGUCUGAGAGGAUGAUUAGUCACCUUGGAUCUGAGACACGGUACACACUCCUACGGGAGGACGCAGUGGGGACUCUUGGACGAUGCGCGAAAGGGUGAUACAGCAAUGCCGCGUGUGUGCAGAAGGUCUUCGGAUUGUAAAGCACUUUAAGUCGUGGGGAAGGGAAGUAAGUUUAUCCCUUGCUGUAUUGACGGUACCAACAGAAUAAGCACCGGCUAACUUCGUG